rnacentral:rRNA from 1 species
UGAACUUUGUUAUGAUUAAUCUCUGGAUGUCUAAUAAUUCUCGCAUGGUAGUAAUUCGAAAAUAAACCCAGCAGAAAACAUUAAACCCUGUAUGAAAAUAUAAUUUAGUUAUUCAGAAUUCUUUUUGACUAAGAAGGUGCCAGCAGUCGCGGUCAGACCUUAAAAAAUAUCCGGAAAACUUAAGUUAGUUAAUAUAGAAUAGAUGCGGGAUGUUCUGUGAAAUUCUACUCUAACCAAGUACCAAUACUAUAUUUUAUAGCACAGAUAGGACAGAACACAAGACUAGGAUUAGAUACCCUAUUAUUAGUCCCUAAACCCUAUAACUUAAGCACUACGGUUAACAAAACUAAAACUUAAAUAACAUGGCGGCCAGUUUAAUUUUCAGAGGAACUUACCAGAUAAAUGAUAAUCCGCAAGAUACUCAACUUUAGUUAACUAGCUUAUAUAUCGCCGUCGAGUUCCCUCUUAGGGAGGCAACGCAGAUCUAGUAAGCUAGCAUAAGUCAGGUCAAGACAUAGCCUAUGCUAAAGCCUUAAGGUGAGUUACAAUAAGAGACUCUUUCAGAAAAAGAUCGAAAAUUCUUCUUAAGAUGGAUUUGAAAGUAAUCAUUCAAACUAAAUACAAGUUGAAUAACUUUAAACUUGUGUACAAAUCGCCCGUCACUCUCAAUGUUAACAUGAGAUAAGUCGUAACAUAGUAGGGGUACCGGAAGGUGUCCCU